rnacentral:rRNA from 1 species
GACGGAGGGUGCUAGCGUUGUUCGGAAUCACUGGGCGUAAAGGGCGCGUAGGCGGCCUUGCAAGUCGGUUGGUGAAAGCCCGGGGCUCAACCCCGGAGGUGCGGCCGAGACUGCAGGGCUGGAGGCCGGAAGAGGAGGGUGGAAUACCCAGUGUAGCAGUGAAAUGCGUAGAGAUCGGGAGGAACAUCUGUGGCGAAGGCGACUGCCUGGACCAGCACUGACACUGAGGCACGAAAGCGUGGGGAGCAAACAGG